rnacentral:rRNA from 1 species
GAUGAACGCUGGCGGCGUGCCUAAUACAUGCAAGUCGAGCGAACAGACGAGGAGCUUGCUCCUCUGACGUUAGCGGCGGACGGGUGAGUAACACGUGGAUAACCUACCUAUAAGACUGGGAUAACUUCGGGAAACCGGAGCUAAUACCGGAUAAUAUAUUGAACCGCAUGGUUCAAUAGUGAAAGACGGUUUUGCUGUCACUUAUAGAUGGAUCCGCGCCGCAUUAGCUAGUUGGUAAGGUAACGGCUUACCAAGGCAACGAUGCGUAGCCGACCUGAGAGGGUGAUCGGCCACACUGGAACUGAGACACGGUCCAGAAUCCUACGGGAGGCAGCAGUAGGGAAUCUUCCGCAAAGGGCGAAAGCCUGACGGAGCAACGCCGCGUGAGUGAUGAAGGUCUUCGGAUCGUAAAACUCUGUUAUUAGGGAAGAACAAAUGUGUAAGUAACUAUGCACGUCUUGACGGUACCUAAUCAGAAAGCCACGGCUAACUACGUG